GCUGUAGUGGUGUAAUGGUAGCAUGUUGGCCUGUGGAGCCUGAGGCCCGGGUUCGAUUCCCGGCUACGGCC
rnacentral:tRNA from 2 species